GAAAGCGGUGUGAGGCGAAAGUAUCCCGCACCGUUUGGGGUGGGGGGCUGGCGAGACCUCUAGUUGUUUAACAUUACCUAAAGUUAGGUACACUAGAGAAGUAGUCAGUCUCUAUCACCAU
rfam:Thiotrichaceae bacterium IS1 Ga0073108_1090, whole genome shotgun sequence.